rnacentral:rRNA from 1 species
AUCCUCUGACACCCCUAGAGAUAGGGCUUUCCCUUCGGGGACAGAGUGACAGGUGGUGCAUGGUUGUCGUCAGCUCGUGUCGUGAGAUGUUGGGUUAAGUCCCGCAACGAGCGCAACCCUUGAUCUUAGUUGCCAGCAUUCAGUUGGGCACUCUAAGGUGACUGCCGGUGACAAACCGGAGGAAGGUGGGGAUGACGUCAAAUCAUCAUGCCCCUUAUGACCUGGGCUACACACGUGCUACAAUGGACAGAACAAAGGGCUGCGAGACCGCAAGGUUUAGCCAAUCCCACAAAUCUGUUCUCAGUUCGGAUCGCAGUCUGCAACUCGACUGCGUGAAGCUGGAAUCGCUAGUAAUCGCGGAUCAGCAUGCCGCGGUGAAUACGUUCCCGGGCCUUGUACACACCGCCCGUCACACCACGAGAGUUUGCAACACCCGAAGUCGGUGAGGUAACCUUUAUGGAGCCAGCCGCCGAAGGUGGGGCAGAUGAUUGGGGUGAAGUCGUACAAGGGGUAACC